CCAUGUUAUGAGAGGACUUUCCUGAAUAGCCAGGUAGUACUGACCACACUGGCUCAGUAAAUUCCUAGUGUUCUCCUUCCUUGCCUGAGAGUCAGAGCAGCAGGAGCCCCAGGAGCUGAGCAGGGACCCUCAUGUCCAUGCUGUGUCUUGACUGGGACUGACUCUUGCAAGUGGUAUGACCAGCCUGUGUACAAGUCUUCAGGAAGUUGGCUGUGUUUUUUUGAAAAUGAAAAUUUCAACAGAUGCAAGAAUGACUUUAUCUGCAUAAUAUUGCACAGGCCUAGUGUCCCCCAGGGGUCCUAAGAUUGAUCAGGCCUGCAUACACUUGUUAGCAGAGAACAAGUUUCUCUCUGGGGGCCACAGAACAGAAUCUGUCUACUGUCCUGCAAGGAGAUUGCUUUUCUGCUCUGCAGAAGUAGGUCAUGACCUACUUUUCUUGCUAGCUUCCCGUCUAAGACCUGGCUUGUUGGAGAAGCACAUCUCCAGAAUCUGCAAUAAAUUUUAGAAGUGUCCUGCGUUUGGUACUGAUGAAUAUUAUUGAGGCCACAGAGACUUCUUCUUUGCUCUGAUCCUCUAGAGCCCUUGAUGUUGUAAAUCAUCAGCACUAUCAGCCAGAGAUGCAAUGAUGAGAACAACAGUGAAGGUGCAGGGAGAAGCCUGGCAGACACCCCCUUCAGCAGGAGUCAGACUGAACCUCGUCAGUCAUGUGGCAGAUGGAAAUCACACACAUCCCAAUAGGAUUCAGUGAGAGCACAGUAUCGCUUCUGGAUAUUCCCGCAACAGUUACACUAACAGAGUUCAAUCCUGAAGAAAAUUCAAACAAAUUUAAAUUGACAAUCUACAUGGUAACUGGUGUGUAAUCUUCAAAAGCAAUGUGUUCAUAAAGUCCAAACAAGGACACUGGAACUGUUCUAGAUGGAAGAAAACUACGGAGGUACAGGCCAGCAAAGGCAACCCGUGAAUCAUUUUGUUACAAAAGACAUUAUUGGAACAAUUAACAAAAGUUGAAAUACACUUGAGGAUUAGAUGGAGUGAUGCACCAGUGAUGAUUCCCUGGUUCCACAGAUGUAUUGGGUUAUGUAGGAAAAUGUCUUGUCUGAAGGAAAUACAUAGCAAAGUCUUAAAGGGUGGAACUAUGAGGUCAUCAAGUUACUCUCAAUGGUUUAGGGGGAAAUGUGUUACUUUGUACUCUACUUACAAACUUUCUGUAAAUGUGAAAUUGUUUCAAUAUUUUAAAAAUAAAA
rnacentral:lncRNA from 10 species